AGUGAACGCUGGCGGUAGGCCUAACACAUGCAAGUCGAACGGCAGCACAGUAAGAGCUUGCUCUUACGGGUGGCGAGUGGCGGACGGGUGAGGAAUACAUCGGAAUCUACUUUUUCGUGGGGGAUAACGUAGGGAAACUUACGCUAAUACCGCAUACGACCUACGGGUGAAAGCAGGGGAUCUUCGGACCUUGCGCGAUUGAAUGAGCCGAUGUCGGAUUAGCUAGUUGGCGGGGUAAAGGCCCACCAAGGCGACGAUCCGUAGCUGGUCUGAGAGGAUGAUCAGCCACACUGGAACUGAGACACGGUCCAGACGCCUACGGGAGGCAGCAGUGGGGAAUAGUGGACAAUGGGCGAAAGCCUGAUCCAGCCAUACCGCGUGGGUGAAGAAGGCCUUCGGGUUGUAAAGCCCUUUUGUUGGGAAAGAAAAGCAGCAGGUUAAUACCCCGCUGUUCUGACGGUACCCAAAGAAUAAGCACCGGCUAACUUCGUG
rnacentral:rRNA from 1 species